AAACACGGUUGGAAAAGAUUUAUCGUGAGAAGUCAGCCGAGGCCAUAGUACCAUAACCGACAACUUAUGGGAAGGGC
rfam:Draconibacterium orientale strain FH5T, complete genome.